rnacentral:tmRNA from 1 species
GGGGUUGUUCGGUUUUGACAGCAAGUUCGGGGGAUUGUAAGCAGGCCGGAGUUUGUGGGCCGAUUCCGUUAAAAGUUAACCCUCAAUGCCAAUAAACGGCGAAACUUCUUAUGCAUUCGCAGCGUAACCGUUGCGGAUCCCGCCGCACAGACAAGGUCUGCAGCCGCGGGCGCUUCCCCGGAAGUUAUUCGGUCCAACGUCCGGUCAGAAGUGUCAUAAAAGGACAGAUAGCGAGUGUGUGCUUCGACACAUGAGCGAAAUUUCAGAAGAUAAGCCGCCGCCAGGUCUGUCUCGUACCAUGCGGUGGCCGACAAGCAAACGAAGACUAAGCUUGUAGAAAGCAAUCUUGCGGCAUGUUUGGACGCGGGUUCGACUCCCGCCAACUCCAC